rnacentral:rRNA from 1 species
GCCUCAUGCGGCGAAGCCUGAUGGAGCAACGCCGCGUGAGUGAAGAAGGUUUUCGGAUCGUAAAACUCUGUUGUAAGGGAAGAACAAGUACAGUAGUAACUGGCUGUACCUUGACGGUACCUUAUUAGAAAGCCACGGCUAACUACGUGCCAGCAGCCGCGGUAAUACGUAGGUGGCAAGCGUUGUCCGGAAUUAUUGGGCGUAAAGCGCGCGCAGGCGGUCCUUUAAGUCUGAUGUGAAAGCCCACGGCUCAACCGUGGAGGGUCAUUGGAAACUGGGGGACUUGAGUGCAGAAGAGGAAAGUGGAAUUCCAAGUGUAGCGGUGAAAUGCGUAGAGAUUUGGAGGAACACCAGUGGCGAAGGCGACUUUCUGGUCUGUAACUGACGCUGAGGCGCGAAAGCGUGGGGAGCAAACAGGAUUAGAUACCCUGGUAGUCCACGCCGUAAACGAUGAGUGCUAAGUGUUAGGGGGUUUCCGCCCCUUAGUGCUGCAGCUAACGCAUUAAGCACUCCGCCUGGGGAGUACGGUCGCAAGACUGAAACUCAAAGA